AUUUCAUUGAAAAUUGUCAAGAAUUAUUUUGAAGAUAUAUUUAAAUUUAUAGUCAGAAAUACAAGAUGAUUAAGGGUAGAGUUUAUUCAAAGUACGAUCCAUAUCUACGCAGGAUGCUCAAGGAUUUGAGGAAAAUUCUUGAAAUAUUAAUGACCGCCAAACCCAAGCAAAUCUACAUGUAUGAAUUUAUUAUAAACGAGAACCUGAAACGUGUUAAAAGUGACAUGAAAGAGGUCAUCGAAAUUGCCAAGAGGAUUAGAGAUUUCAAAACUCAGAUUGCGGUCACAGAAUUAUAUUUCAUUAUUGAGAUUGAUUUUGGAAAAAUUUUCAAAAAACUUUGUAGACAUUGAGCGAAUGAAUACUUUGUAACCAUCACACAAUAUAUGCUUCAAAUU